rnacentral:rRNA from 1 species
GAUUUCUGGCUUGUCACAUUUUGCCGGCCACGGUUUCGUGUGUUAGUGCUUGAUGUUCUGGCCAUCCUUCCAAUCGCUAUUUGCCUUUCUUCAUUGAUUGGUAAGUGGUAUUGGAUCUUUUACUUUGAAAAAAUUAGAGUGUUUCAAGCAGGCUUUAUGCUAUGAAUACAUUAGCAUGGAAUAAUAAUUUAGGACUUCGGUUCUAUUUUGUUGGUUUCUAGGACUGAAGUAAUGAUUGAUAGGGAUAGUUGGGGGUGCUAGUAUUCAGCGGCCAGAGGUGAAAUUCUCGGAUUCGCUGAAGACUAACUUAUGCGAAAGCAUU